GGAGAGCGUUAACCUCUCCCUUCACCCGCCAGCAGCACCAAGGAGCCCGUCAGAGACACAGGCGUCCGCAGACCCGGGAGGGAGCCGCCGUCCCGCAGGCCCCCCGCCGCGGCUCUCACUGGUCCGCUGUCCAACAUCCAGCAGAAGUCCCUGAGCUUCCUUGAGUCGCUGAAGCUGGACCAGCAGAAGCAGGAGCGGGAGCUGGCCCUUCUGCGGCAGCAGGCGGAGCUGGAGGUCUGGGAGACGCAGAAGGCCCUGGGGGAGCUGCUCUUCCAACAUCGGCUGGAGCGGCUGAUGGAGAAACACCCCACCCGGGCCAGACCCGGAACAGCCUCAGAGCCAGAGUGGCCGCAGGUGCGUGUGGAUGCGGAGCUGAUGGCCUCUCGGGACACGGUGACAGCCAGACCCAGGUCACACCCGCUCCUGCCCAGCGACGCUGCUGUGCCCUCCCUGAGCCCCCAGGAAGGACGGAAGAGUAGGACGGACGCGUCGGCCAGGGCAGAGCCUGUGCAGGAGGGGAGACCAGACCAGAGCCCCUCCCAGUGGCCGCCGGCUCGGCUCUACCCUUGGGAUAACCCCAACCUCCAGGUACAGGAGAGGUCCCCGGGGAGGGACAUGCAAACGGGGGGCGGGGGAGGCGCUGGCAGUGGGUAUGAGACCCCGUCUUCCCGCUGCUGCCUGGGGCCAUCAGGGCGAGGCCCUCCUCUCCUAGCGCCUGCACCAGGGACCCUCCGCUGCAGGUCCUGGGCUGAGGGAUGGCCAUCUGCUCAAGCCCCUUCCUCAUGCCUGGGGUGGCAGGGGACCACAGGCAUUUCAACCCGUGUUUCAGGCGGGGCUGGUCCCAUCAGUGCUGGUUGCACAUUUUGGGGAGGCGGCUCCACCUUUCCUGAACCCUCUAGAGCACAAACGAGGGCCUGGCUUGGGACCGGGCCAAGGGGGUGAGGACCCCGCCUUGCCUUCAGCCAAUAGCUGGAAAGGGGGUACCAUGGGGGAAGAAGGGGGCCGCCGGUCUGGGAAGGCUCCCUGGAGGCGGCAGCCUCCUCCUUGGGCUGGGUGCUGCUCCCACCUGGCGAGACUGGCCCCCGAGGGGCCUCAAAGCUCAGCGGGCCCCAUCCCAUCGGUCUACCCCGCCGCAGGGGCGCCAGAAGGGGCCCCGGGGCCCGGCCCCCGGAGCCUUCGGCCGCUUCGCGCUCCAGCUGCUCGAGCAGAGCCUGCGGGACGAGGAGCUGCGCGCGCAGCACCGGGCCGCGCUGCUGCGCCUGCGCGAGAAGGCUCUGGAGGAGAAGGCGCGCGCGGAGCUGGCCUGGCUGGAGCAGCGGCGGCGAGGGUGAGCGUCCACGCGCCGCGGCCCCGGCUCCGGCCGCCGUGCUGCGCCCGCGCACUGACCCAAAUAGUGAUGGGCGUUUGGGGAAAGGGCGAUGAGACCUGAAGCAUCCCGAAGCAAAGGACCCAUUAAACAAAGCAAAGCCCGGGAGCUCCCGCUGUGGCUCUGCAGAAAGGCAUCCGACUAGUAUCCAUGAGGAUGCGGCUUCGAUCCCCGGCCUCACGCAGUGGGCGGCUCAGUGGGGUGCAGGGAGCUGUGGUGUAGGUCGCAGCCGUGGCGCAGAUCCCGCGUUGCCGCACCUGUGGCGUAGGCCGGGAGUUGCAGCUCUGGUUUAACCCCUCGCCUGAGAACUUCCAUAAGCCGUGGGUGCAACCCUAAAAAAAGCAAAACAAAAACAAAACCCCACCCAUAGUCCCGCCUCUCCGAAAUCAUCUCUGCCCAUCUCCCAGGCUAUCUUGACCGCUCUUGUUGGGGACAGUACACACAUGGCUGCUUAACCAGCCUUGGGAACAGACUGCACAUGCUGUUUGUAACCUGAGCUUUUGUUUAAAAGUGGGGAAGACCUUUCCGUAUCCCCGUGUAAGCAUCAUGACAGCCAGGGCACCCGGCGCAGAGACC
rnacentral:lncRNA from 1 species